UGAUAACUGUUCCCAAGCAACUGGUAUAAUCAGCAUGGCUGUGUAUUUGGGGAAGCAAGAGGCAAUUUUUUGGAACUCUUCCAAAGAAGCAAUAACUACAAUCUCUUUGGAUAUUUUUUGUGACAAAAUGAACUUUUAUGUUCGUGAGGAACUGCGCCUUUCAGUCUGGUACUCGAUUCAAUAUCAUUGUACUUGCAUUGUCUUGCUUUUGUUUCCAGCAUAAAUCAAACCAAUCUCCUUAUCUCUUUCCUUGCCAAUCCAGUAGAACAUUGCCUCCUCCUGAACUAUGAAUUUCAACUUGCAGAGUGUAACAUAAUUAAAUUAGCUUCCAUGUCAUCUUUACAAAGUGAAAAGAACCCAAACAGAAAUCACAUACAUCACCAGAUAAGAUAUUCGGCAUACAAUAUAAAGGUAACAUUUUAAUGCCAUGAGACAUUAUGGCUCCAAAAAUUUCACCCCUGCUGUUCGCGGUUAUUACAAAGCACACACAACCUGGAGGUAUUCAUGAGAGUGCCUACAAGAAGCAAAAUGAACAUAAAUGAUGAUCAUAAGCAACAAAGCAAGCAUACAACAAAACUCAUAGAUCGUUGGUUACCAAACAUUACCAUAAUGAAACCGUUGAACUCAAUUUCCAAGUAUAGCAAAACAGCAGUUAGCCAAAACCAAACCCCUUUUAGAGUUUUCAUAAUUUUGCUUUUAUUUUUAUGUCUCAACAUAUAAAUAAACAAUCAGGAGUUGGAUAUGACUGAUAAUAAAACUGUACCA
rnacentral:lncRNA from 1 species